AUGGCCUUCAUGAUUCCAGGACCUAGAAUCAUACCAGCCGAUGGCACGACCCUCUUUUGUUGGACUGUUUACCAUAUAACUGGAAUUAACCCAUGCAAGUCGAAGAAGGAUUGGCCGGUGCUGCCAGCUGGCGUCAAGUUCGAUCCCACGGAUCAGGAGCUGAUCGAGCACCUUGAGGCCAAAGUGAAUGCUGACAGUGCGAGAUCUCACCCUCUCAUCGAUUUGUUCAUACCAACCAUCGACAGCGAGCACAACAUAUGCUACACCCAUCCUGAGAAAUUUCCAAGUAUCACACUGAGUGGCCUAAGCAAGCAUUUCUUCCAGUGCAAUUCCAGGGCGUUCAAAAGGGGCACGUGGACGCGUCGCAAGAUACAGUCGGAGUGCGGCAUGCACGCGAUGUGGCACAACACGGGCAAUACCUUGCCAGUGAUGGUCAACGGCCGGCAGAUGGGCAGCAAAAAGGUUCUGGUGCUGCACACCAACAAGAACUUCGACCAGCAGAGGAACAACUGGGUGAUGCACCAGUACCACCUCGGGGAUCUGGAGCAAGAGAAGGAGCGGGAGCUGGUCCUCUGCAAGAUUUUCUACCAGACGAACACUAGGGCCAGGAGUGAAAAGAUUAUAAGUCGAGCAAGUUUCAACUGGGCUGUAGACUGCCCAGGCUUGGUUUUUUUUAAGAGGCCUAGCCCAUGA
rnacentral:rRNA from 1 species